UACAGAGGUCUCAACCGUUGUUCGGAUUCAUUGGGCGUAAAGGGUGCGUAGGCGGUCGGGUAAGUCGGAUGUGAAAUCUCAGGGCUCAACCCUGAAACUGCAUUCGAUACUGCCUGGCUAGGGUACUGGAGGAGGAGACUGGAAUUUACGGUGUAGCAGUGAAAUGCGUAGAUAUCGUAAGGAAGACCAGUGGCGAAGGCGAGUCUCUGGACAGUUACCGACGCUGAGGCACGAAGGUCAGGGGAGCAAACGGG
rnacentral:rRNA from 1 species